rnacentral:rRNA from 1 species
UACGAAGGGGGCUAGCGUUGCUCGGAAUUACUGGGCGUAAAGGGCGCGUAGGCGGACAGUUUAGUCAAAGGUGAAAGCCCAGGGCUCAACCUUGGAAUUGCCUUUGAUACUGGCUGUCUUGAGUUCGGGAGAGGUGAGUGGAAUGCCGAGUGUAGAGGUGAAAUUCGUAGAUAUUCGCAAGAACACCAGUGGCGAAGGCGGCUCACUGGCCCGAUACUGACGCUGAGGCACGAAAGCGUGGGGAGCAAACAGG